rnacentral:lncRNA from 1 species
AUCUCCCUAUAUUAAAGUUUGUACCUUAAUUACAUCUGCAAAGUCCCUUUUGUCAUAUUAAUAUAUCAUAUUCACAGGUUGUAGGGAUUAAAGUGUGAGCAGCUUGGGGUCGGGGAGGGGUGUGCAUGGGGGCGGGGAUGCAUUUUUCUACCAUGUGGUUUUUUUCUAAUUGCUCUAAAUUUAUAUGGACUCUUUAAGUGCACCUUUAGGAGGACACCACUCAAUAGUAUUGUAGAUCUGGAUUCCAACCAGUAGAGUAAUUCCAGUGCUUUUUUUUCUUCUCUCCCUGUCUUUCCCCGGUCUCUUUGAGACCUAGAUAACCUCUAUGACCUAGUAACAAAAUAGCUCCCUGUUUUCUAGUUACAUCUUUAAGAACCUUUAGAUCUUGGGUGUAUCUUCUUUUUCCUUUCAUCUCUGUCUAGCUUGUUCUCCAAGAUCACAUUUUCAUAAGAAUUGAUUCCUAAGGAUAAGAAUUCCUAAGGAUGAGAAUUUUCCUUCUCCAUCUUAAACAGUAUAUCUUCU